rnacentral:lncRNA from 1 species
AAACUAGAACCUUGGUGUUGUUAUAUAGUUUUCCAGCCCCAAAGCUUACAAAUUUGUUUUAAAUCUAAGCCCAUAAAUCAAAUCUAGAUAAGAUAAGAUCUAGAUGACAUCAAAUAUAAAUAAUAUCUAGAUAAGAUAAAAUCUUGUAGAAUAAAAUAGUCUGCCUUCUUCAAGUCCAAGCCCAAUUAUGGAUUCAAGCCCAAUGCUUCAUUAAUUCCUGAAAUUAGAUUAAAAACAUCAAAUUAGCUGAAUGGGCCCAGAUAAUAAAACUGCCUAAUUAAUUUGACAAUUAAGAUUAAUCAGUACUUAAAAUGGUGCAAAAAGGGUUAAGAAAUAGGAGAAAAUAAUGACACAUCAAAAUCCCCCAUACUUAGCCUUUUGCACUCCUGGGAAAAAUGAAAUAAAGAACAAAAUCCAAGGAUAUCAAAGAGAGACAAACAAAAACAUUUACAUAUUUCUCAAUGAACAUCAAGGAAUGAAAGGAAUGGGUAACAUCUAACAUGAAGAGAUCCAAAGAGUCAAGACAUUCGUGAAAAUCAUCCAAGCAACCCAAUCAUGGCAAAAUAGUUAAUAAGCUCAAGAAUGAAAAGUGAUAAAGCCUCACAAGAUAUACUCUCUAUCUCUCAAGUGUCUAGGCUACUGUUUACUCUCGAAGCACCCAUGAAAACAAACACCACAUAGACUUGGCAAAAUUCUAAAAUAGACAAACAACUUGACAAACACAUGCAUAUGAUGAUCAAAAUGUCUUUAAAGGUUGUAAUGGGGACAAGGACAAGGUUGGGAAAAAAAUAUGGAAUAAUUAGCUAAAUCCCAAAGGAAUAGAGGAGCAAUGGGGAAUAAGUGGCAAUUAAGCACAAGUAGUAAACCCAAACCCUCUAAUAUCAACAAAAUCAACCAAGGCUCCCAAAUCAAGUCCUCAUAACAAGACCUCAUUUAUUCAACUUCACUUCUUUUCUUCUUUUUUUUUCAUUUUUUUCAUCAUUUUUUUUAACAGUACGAAUUUGAAGAUUAAAGCAAGAACUAGACAAUAUAUACAUCAAGCAUGGCCUAAAUAAAACAUUAAGCAUGGAAAAAAAUUAUAUCUUCCAAUGAAACAUACCCCCCCACACUUAUUCCCAGCUUAUUCCCAAAACAAUUCCAAAGCUCCAAAAUUCCUUAAGGGUAAGGUGAUAUCAUGGUUUUUCACUUAAGGCUUGUAAUGAGCUUCAAAACAAAGAAGGGGAACAUAGGCUCAAAGGGGCUAUCAAAGGAAUUAAUUCAAGGUAAGUCCAUUUGGCUAGAAGCUUAUAAGAACAAAAUUGCCUAAAUCAUUUCCAAAUAUGUAUGUGAAUUAGGAAGCAUCAACAAGAAUCAAGCCAAGGCUAUUGUGCAAGCAAUCAAUGGGGCAAAACACACCAAAAGAUUAUGAUGAUGGAUGACUCAAAUUCUCACAAAGGUAAACUUAUCACUUUUAAAUUGAGCUUUCAAAAUUAUCAUGACAUGUAGAGGAAAAACAAGGAUUCCAAAUCACAAAAUGUCAAGAGACUUUUAUUUUUCAGAACAAUUACCCAUUUCUUGAACAUAUCCUAUAAUUUAAAGAAAAAUAUGCAAAGUUGUACAUGCAAACAGAAUUGACCUAAAAUAUUAAACUAGAAACCCAACAAAACUAACAAAUUUAACACAAACAAAACUAACAAAACUAGCAAAACCAAAACCAAAGAACACUCCCCCCUAUACUUAAACAACACAUUAUCCUCAAUGUAGCACAAUUAAAAGAUUAAAAGCAAUUAAACCAUCAAAUAGAAUCAGACAAAUGUAAUAAAAGUAAAGAAGGAGAUAGGAAAAGAAAAACUCCCUAAGUCAUGGUGGAGGAAGAGUAGGGUGGAGUAAGGAAGUCUCUUCCACCACUACGUCCACUAAAGAAAGGUUUGUGAGGAAUGGCUUAAGUCGGUGUCCAUUGACCUUGAAGCUCUUCUUUGUGGAGUCACUUUUGAUCUCAACUGUACCAUAAGGAAAAACAUUAGUAACAACAAAAGGGCCAAUCCACUUAGACCUCAACUUACCACUCAUGAGUCCGAGCUUAGAAUUAUACAAUAACACUUUUUGCCCAACCAUGAAGUCCUUCUUAAUUAUCAUGCUAUCAUGGAACAUCUUGGUCUUUUCUUUGUAGAACUUGGCAUUCUCAUACGCUUCUAGGCGGAUCUCAUCUAACUCACUCAGUUGCAACUCUCUUUCCUCACCAGCUUGAUCCAUAGAGAAGUUGCAGGUCUUCACUGCCCAGUAUGCUUUGUUCUCAAUCUCAACUAGAAGAUGACAUGCCUUUCCAAAGACAACCCGAUAAGGAGACAUUCCUAUGGGUGCUUUGUAGGCAGUCCUAUGUGCCCAAAGAGCAUCAUCUAGCUUGGUACACCAAUAUUUCCUGUUUGGCUGCACAAUCUUCUCUAAAAUUCUCGUGAUCUCCCUGUUAGAAAUUUCUGCUUGUCCAUUGGUUUGGGGGUGGUAUGGUGUGGAUACCCUGUGGACAACCCCGUACUUUUUAAGCAAGGCAUGCAUUGAUUUGUUGCAAAAAUGGGUUCCUUGAUCACUAACGAUUGCUUUUGGUACUCCAAACCUGCAAAACAGAUUAGAUCUGACAAAAUCUACAACAACCUUAGCAUCAUUAGUUCUAGUGGGCUUGGCUUCCACCCAUUUUGAAACACAAUCAACUGCAAGGAGAAUGUAAACAUAACCAAAAGAUACAGGAAAAGGGCCCAUGAAAUAUAUACCCCAGACAUCAAACACCUCACAAAAUAGCAUAGGUUGCUGAGGCAUUUGUUGUCGCCAUGUAACUGCACUUCCUGCUCUCUGACAUUGCUCACAAGUGCUACAAAUCUUCCACACAUCUUUAAAGAUGGUGGGCCAAUAAAAGCCACAAUCAAGCACUUUGCGAGCUGUCCUUUGAACACCCAGAUGACCUCCCGGUGCGGAAGAAUGACAGAACUGCAGGACUGAGUCAAUCUCAUGAUCUGGAAUGCAUUGUCUAAUGACCUAAUCACUGCACAAUUUCCACAAGUAGGGGUCAUCCCAAAUAAAAUGCUUAGCAUCACUUUUAACUUUAUCUUUUUGAGCCUUAGAUGCUAAGGGAGGAAAAAUAGAAGCAACUAAAUAAUUGACAAUGUUAGCAAACGAGGGAGUAGAAAGAGAAUCAGAAAUACUAUACAAUAUAUAUAAAUGAUCAUCUGGAAAUCAUCCCGAAUGGAUGAGUCCUCAUCAGACACAUGUUCGAUCCGACUCAAAUGAUCAACAACUAAAUUUUGUGCUCCGCUCCUAUCACGGAUCUCCAAGUCAAAUUGUUGGAGCCAAAGCAUCCAUCGGAUCAACCUAGGCUUUGAAUCAGCCUUCUUCAACAAGUACUUUAAAGCUUCAUGGUCAGUAUAAACAAUAAUGCGAGUACCAAGCAAAUAAGAACGAAAUUUUUCAAGAGCAAAAACUAUGGCUAGUAGCUCUUUCUCAGUAGUAGUAUAAUUCGCUUGGGCAGCAUCUAAAGUCCUAGAAGCAUAAUAUAUCACCCUAGGCAAUUUAUCAAUUUUCUAAGCAAGGACAGCCCCCAAUGCAUAUUUUGAUGCAUCACACAUAAGCUCAGAAGGGGCUGUCCAGUCGGGUGCGUGGAUGAUGGGGGUGGUAGUCAGUGCUCUUUUGAGGCAAUCAAAAGCCUCUUUGCAUUUAUCAUUAAAGUCAAACUCCACCUCCUUUUGCAACAAGUUGGAUAGUGGAAGGGCUACUUUGCUAAAAUCUCUUAUAAAGCGCAUGUAGAAUCCUGCAUGACCAAGAAAAGAUCGCACCUCUCGCAUGCAAGAGGGGUAAGGCAAUUGUGAAAUAAUAUAAAUUUUUGCAGGAUCUACUUCAAUGCCUUUAUUGGAAAUAAUGUGGCCUAAAACAGGGUGGAGGUUGUGCCAUGUUCUCAAAAUGUUCAAAAUCAGAAUGUUCAAAACAAUAAUGCUCAAAAUCACCAAUAACAAAAUGCUCAGGAUGCUCAAAAGGUACUAAAUGAUGUCUAACUAAUCUAUGAAAUGUCCUAUCUAUCUCAGGAUCAAAGGGUUGUAAGUCAGAUCGAUUGCCUCUAGUCAUACACUAUAUUCAGCAUGCACAACUAGUUGCCUUCUUAUGCAAGUAACAAUGUAGGUUUGAACUACAGCUACCAUUAAAUGAUAUCCAAAUGACUUGAAAUUUUGUGAGCAACCUUACAAAAUGAUGAGAAUAUAGCACAAAAAGUUUCAAACAAAAAUUCAAAGUCUAACUAAGCGAAAUUUAACAUAAGGCAUUCAUUAUAUGAUUAAGCAACACAUACACCAAUUACUCAUAAACGAUCAUUAAGCAUGGACGUAAAUUAAGUGCAGAGACAAUUAAUCAAGAACUAAGCAUGCAUGAAUUAAUAACUACAAAUUCAGAGUAAUUAGUGAAGAGGAAAAACUGAACAGAAUUUAACAGUAAUAAUAGAACCUCAAAGAGAACUGUGCUUGAUCCUCAAGAGAAAACAACGCUGGGGACUUAGCCUUCCAUUAAUCAAUAGAGAACGAAAUUAUAGAUUGAAGAACGAAAUUUUAUUGCUAAAACGAAAAGUCAGAACUGGAAUUGCAAAAACAAAAAAAAAAGGAGAAAGAGAAGAGAGAGGAGAGCCUAAACUAGAACCUUGGUGUUGUUAUAUAGUUUUCCAACCCCAAAGCUUACAAAUCUAUUUUAAAUCCAGGCCCAUAAAUAAAAUAAAAUCAAAUCUAGAUAAGAUAAGAUAAGAUCUAGAUGAAAUAAUAUCUAGAUGACAUCAAAUCUAAAUAAUAUCUAGAUAAGAUAAAGUCUAGAUAAGAUAAAAUCUUGUAGAAUAAAAUAGUCUGCCCUCUUCAAGUCCAAGCCCAAUUCUGGAUUCAAGCCCAAUGUUUCAUUAAUUCCUGAAAUUAGAUUAAAAACAUCAAAUUAGCUAAAUGGGCCCAAAUAAUAAAACUGCCUAAUUAAUUUGACAAUUAAGAUUAAUCAGUACUUAAAAUGGUGCAAACAAGGUUAAGAAAUAGGAGAAAAUAAUGGCACAUCAUGUUGUGUGCAUCAAAUGAAUAAAUAUAUAUCUCAUGCAUACAUUUCAAAAACACACUAAAAGCAUCAUAGAGAUAUAUACAAGAACAUAAGAGAAAUAAAAGGAAACCGACAAAAGAGGAAGUCAUGAUAUUGCAACGAGAUUAGAAGGUCUAACCUCUAAAAAUAGUCCCAAGUGGAGUCGCCAACUGUCGCAAAAGGUGUGGUCUACGAACUUUAAGUGUGAAAGGUUCGAGAGUUGUUUUUACGAACGGGGAAGAUAUUAGCACCCCACGCGUCCGUCACAAGGGAUGGUAGCCUCUAAUCAAGUGUGCAAAUAUGACUUCAAAAUGUUUUAUUUUCCCUUUUUUUAUGUCUUUUUGUAUUUUUAUGCUUUUUAUGUUUUUUGUAUUUUCUUAUCUUUUUGUGGUCGACAAGGGUGUUUCCCUCGCUCCUACGUAUCCUCAAUUGUGAUGAGGAAAUCAGACCUACGUAGUUCUUUGAGAACUAAACGUUGGUUAAGUUGUUUUUAUCUUUUUUCGCAAGAUAUAUUUAAACUGAACAAAAGUCGUUUAAGGCGUUGGAUCAUUAAACGAUUUUUUGAUUUUGAAAGGAGAGAAACGUUAAGGCGUUGGACCAUUAACGAUCUCUUGGUUUUGAAAGGAGAGAAACGUUAAGGCGUUGGACCAUUAACGAUCUCUUGGGGUGGUCGACAAAAGCGGGGCUUUUGCUCCUACGUAUCCUCAAUUGCGAUGAGGAAAUCAGACCUACGUAGUUCUUGCAAAAGCGAUAAAGUUACAUAUUGAUUUUAUGCUUUUGAACGGUCCAUGUUAACCGAUAAAAGCAAAGAGGACCAUUUAAGGUGUUGGACCUUAAAACAGUUUUUAGUGAUUUUUGCGGACAAAGCUUGAUUUGUGA